rnacentral:rRNA from 1 species
AUGUUGACAAAUAAAAAUAAUUGGACACUUCCCGAGCCAGCUCCUGAGCCUAUUCCUAAACCAACUCCGAAGAAGAGAGGUGUUCUAUUUCUCAGUCCUGAAGAUAUGCAAGAGGCAAAGAAAUCUAUGAAAGAAAAGGUUAUUAAAGCUGAAGAUGUUAAGAAUUUACCUCCUAUUGAAGAAAUACAUGGUCUUAAUUUACCGCCUGUUGAAGAAACUUGUGAUCUCAAUCCUCCACCUAUUGAGGAAACUCAUGGUCUUGAUAACCCGACACAGGUAGUAAAGGUAAAUUCUCUCUAUAGAUUUGAUAAAGCUGAAAUCCCUCCUACUAAAAUUGCUAGCCAAUGCUUGGAUGAGUUUGAUAACUUCAUGGUUAGGCAAGAAGAUUUUAAUGCUUAUUUUGGUAGACAAUUAAAACAAAAUGCUUAUAUGAUUGAACACUUGGGUGAUUAUAUGUCUAGAGUUAAAGGUGAACUUAAACUCAUUAGUAACAUGCUUCUAUGGUUACCACUCAAGUAA